ACCAUGCAGUCGAACGGCAGCACGGGGGCAACCCUGGUGGCGAGUGGCGAACGGGUGAGUAAUACAUCGGAACGUGUCCUGUAGUGGGGGAUAGCCCGGCGAAAGCCGGAUUAAUACCGCAUACGCUCUACGGAGGAAAGGGGGGGAUCUUAGGACCUCCCGCUACAGGGGCGGCCGAUGGCAGAUUAGCUAGUUGGUGGGGUAAAGGCCUACCAAGGCGACGAUCUGUAGCUGGUCUGAGAGGACGACCAGCCACACUGGGACUGAGACACGGCCCAGACUCCUACGGGAGGCAGCAGUGGGGAAUUUUGGACAAUGGGGGCAACCCUGAUCCAGCAAUGCCGCGUGUGUGAAGAAGGCCUUCGGGUUGUAAAGCACUUUUGUCCGGAAAGAAAACCUCGUGGUUAAUACCCGUGGGGGAUGACGGUACCGGAAGAAUAAGCACCGGCU
rnacentral:rRNA from 2 species